UCAUCUGGAAGUUGGCUGUUGCUGCCAACAGACUGAUUCAUUCUGGCUUCCAGCCUGUUCUGUACAGGGUCUAAGGAAGUGUCCAGCAAGAACAAGCUCAGUGCUGGAGGAACAGUCCCAAAUACCUGAUGCAAUCAUCUGAAAUCUCUCUUAUAUCCACAGGAAGCCAUGGCGGAUUUAAGAUGAGGCACUUAAUCUUGUUGGACCAAAAAAAGCUGAAGAUGCCAUUUCUCUAAAUUUCUUUCUAUGCCUGAGAUUCCCUUGAAGCACGUGUUUCCCAGAAUAUGUGAUGGGAAUGGUCACAGAGAAGAAAGGGAACAGAAGAUGUAACAAAACAGGUUUCUAAUCAGAGCCAGGUUUAAGAGGGUAAGAUGUUUGUAUCAGCUCCCCUCAGCUCAGCUGUUUAACGUCUCGGGUUCUAUACCUCUGUCUCUCCCUAAAUGCUAUAAAACCACCAUAUGCGUGUUCUGAAGGGUCACGGGAAGAAGCGUCUGUUGUGAAAGAGUCUGCCACUUCUGCUUCACAUUAUAAUUCAAAGUUUUCCUUCUUGAAAACAACACAUUUAAAAUGUCCAAGUUCCUCAUAUUGUUUUCUGGAUUACCUUGCAAAUUGUGAAAUUCACAAAGCAAGACACAACCUAUACUGUAAAAGAAAAUGAAUACGAAAGUAAUUCUAGAGCUCAUAAGCCUUUGAACAGAGCCAGACUUUCCCAGUAAGGGAAAAUCUGCAACUACAGAAUGGCUGUUUAAAAGGAACCGUGCUUUCUGCAGAACUGUGUAAUGACAUAAGUAAAAGAAAUCCUAAAAUCAAUAACCUAGCAACUUUUACCUUACUAGGUAAUCUUAUCAGAUACUCUUCACCUCAGAAAUACGGGUGUAAAUAAUGUAGUGAAAAUGAUAGUGUUUACCCAGUUCACUAUAGAAAGGCACAAUAGCAGGCUAGAGAUCCACUACAAGCAAAGCAUAUGCUUGAUGGCAAAUCUUUUCCCCAUUUCCUACAUUAGAUAUUCAUCAGGGUUUGACUUCUAAUUGAAUGCAAAUAAACGAUAGAACAGGUUUUUGCAUAUGAAGUGAAGUUAUAUAACAUCUGUCUCUUCCCAGCCUUUCAACGUACCUUGUGUGACAUUAAGCAAAGAGAGGUUUGCCUCAUCAGCUUGUAGGAAAGGGGGUGAAUUUGAAGAACAGUGUGAAUGAACUAAAUUAUUCUACUGCUGGUUUAAGAGGUGCUUCUUUGGUCUCUCUGCACACGCUCCUAAGUGAUGAAUUGACAAGUUGGCCAUAAUCAGUUUUAAUGCCAAAACGAUGGACUACUGGUAUAGAAGGUCACAAAACACUAUUAGUUACCUUGUAUCAUCUCAUUCUUGAAGGAUGAUCUAAAAAAUAUAGACUAGUCGUUUGGAAUAUAGUGUAUAUUCAUAGCUAGCACUAUCCAAGCACACUGUUAGAUAUAUUUAAAGCAUAUUCUUAACUGCAAAGAGCAUACAUAUCUUCUGCUCCUUUAGGCUCACGAUAACAACCAUUCAUGCUUUGUGUUUUGUUUCCUCAGCAGCCGUAACUCAAUAAUUGUACUUACUGGCACAGGAUAGCCAUUCUUAAAUCUAAAUGUAAAAGUUUCGUAUCCUGAAAUUAGCCUGUAUGUUUAUAUUGUAGCACAUCUCGGCAUUGAAGUGGAAGGAAAGUCCUAGUAAAAAAUGCUACAUAAAAUAUCUCGUGAGGCUUUCAGAGAACUAAAAAAGAACCCCCUACCACAACUUCCCUCCUCUGACAGAUCACCCUUUCACAGAACAUUUCUCCGAAUCUCUCAUUAAAGAGCACAAAAAAAACAAAGUUCAAAAUCCAAUCUGAAGUGUGUGCAGUAAAUUCAAUUAAGGAACAAAGGACUCUGGUAACAAGGAUGAAAGGAUGAUAUUCAAAGAUGUCUAAAAUGAUUUCAGUGAAAUUUCCACACUCAGUGCAAUUCAGAGGUUCAGCAAUCUGUACUGUAGUCCACUGCUUGUGGAGCCUGACAGUAGAAAAUGUUCAGCUACAUAAAAUUCUGGCCACAAAUAUACAGCACUUUGGGGACACAAAGACUGGGUUGGUUGUAAGUCCCAUCAAAAUCAUGGAUCCGUGGCCAACUCCACUACCAAAUUCACACCAUCACUGGUGAUGGAAGAGUCUGACUUUUACAUAGCUUCCUGUUCUGGGAACAGUGAACAAUUCUCUUUAGCCUUCUGGUUUGAAUUCUGACAAUUUGCAGGUAGAGGGAUGCUCAGAUUCACCGAGGUGGUACAGAGGGAAGGGAGGAGGCCAACAGGCACAGACUGCACUGCCUCAUUUACUCGUACCACUUGCUGGAGGCAGAAUGAAGGAAAGGUGAAUUAGAAUCACUCUGUGCAAUGAUGGACCAGAUUCAAAGCUUCCAGAAGCCACUGGAAAUAUUCAAUCAGGUUAUAAUGGGAUUUUCAGACUUAAAAAUCCAACAGAUAGCUAUUUCAGGAGGAAACUGUAUGCAUUCAAAACCUGUAAUGAGCGUAAUUUAUAAAGAAGGGCUUAUGGCAGGCUGCUUUACCUGUAACAGUGUGCACAUAUACAACCAUGAGAUCCAAGUGCCAUUGGAGUAGGGAACACUGACCACACAGAUGAGUGAACACUAGAAAGAACUGAGCAGCCCCUGUUCUGCGAUAAGUUCCAGGGAAUCUUUUAUUCUGCCCUAAGCAGACAAGCAUUAAGUUCUCCAGAGUCUGUUGAAAAGACUCACAGCAGGAUGUGCCAGUCUCUAUACCAUGGAGGAAUAAAAGGCUAAGAUUUCACUGCAAUUACAAUAAGCCACUAUCCUUAAUUUCUGUCAAACAGUAGAUGUCUCUCUUUGCCAGCAGUUGAAACGUGUGUAAAAUGUUGUUAGGGUACACAUCCACAGCUAGUGUUAUUCCCUUUUUCUUUAAUUCAGCUUACAUUCCCAUCAUGCCUUGUAGAAAAAAUCCACGGGGGACGAAAGAUAACACUGAGUCCAAACCCUGAGAACAGCCCCAUGAAAGCAACAAAUUAUAAACUCUACUGAAGAGAUUUUCUUCAGAAAGAUCACAGGUCCCAUGCUUUAGUCAUGGCCUGUUCCUUUGCCAGCAGGUUCAGAGAGUGAUCUGUGAGAGCUAAGUGAUUUCUUUCAAGUAAGCUGCUCACGAUGACUACAGAAACCUCAAGGAUUACAGUACACAAACAAUGGGAGAAAAGCUGCUUCGAAUAAUACACCCAGACAAUGGAGUUGCCGUUAUGGUAGCAAUGCAAAAUAUGGACAGGGAUUUAAAUGAAACGGGUGAUAUCUGUAUACUUUGGAGGGCUCACGUGUGCCAAAUUUGGCAGCAUGAGUGUUCGUAUUGCUUGUUGCUCCACCCCUCGAACAAUGAGGCUAAACCCCAUAUGUGCAAGAGUUGGUAGAGCACAAGCAGUUCUGCUAAUCACACUGCAUGCAAAAGCAAAAAGACAAAGGGAACUAGUAAUGCUUAGACUAGCAUUGGGGAAAUAAUUAAGCAUGAAUGAAAUAUUGUAUGUGGAUUUGAAAUGAAUGCGAGGCAUUCUUGGAAACAAUUGUGCUGUUUCAGUAGUGCUGCUUUCCCCCCUAAGUUUCACAAAGUAAUUUGCAUGUCAUUUAAAUAAAUACCAUAAAUUAUUGGAAACUUUUUGUUUUUAUUUACAUAAAACAAAAUACUCAUUUCCAUUAUUGUUUGGAUUACCUGACAAGAGUGAAAUGCAGAGGCCUUUGAGAUUAAACUUGUCUCUUCUCCCCAAAAUACUACAGAUUUCUCAUGCAUGCGUGAGCCAGAAAUGACCCCACCUUUAGCCUUGCCUUACAUAGGCAAUUAAUGCUCUGGUGAUGUAACAGAGAUAGAGGAUUAGCUAUUCCCAUGGAGCCAAGCUGGAGCUGCAAGCUGGUCAAGGAUACUGGAAUGUGGUACUUUGCAGUGGUCAAGUUUUCAGUGACCCUUCAAGAAAAUAAGAACUGAAUCUCGCCUACAGGCAUCCAGUGCCUCUUGGACAAUCCAUAUGAGGUUUAACUUCAAUAGCCAGGAACAUAAAAGGCCUACGCUCUCCAUCUGUGAUAUUCACAUUGUUUUCACUUUCAUUCAGUGUUAUCCAUACACCACCAGUUUGAUUUCACUUCUGAUAAAUACUUCUCGACUUCUUUCUCAGAGUCCGUUUCAGCCCUGCUUUCUCCUCACAUGCUGUCAGAGUCAACAAGAAGCCAAUUCAGAACCCUUAUCAUUCUUUGCAUACAGACAACUAUAAAGAAAUCAGAUGAUUGAAAUACAGAUCAGAAGAAGGCGAGUGCAAGGUUGCCAUACAAGUCAAGUAGGUGUACAUUCCUCUGCAGGAUCAUCUGGAACCUGUUAGUCACUGAAAACUAAAUAUAGAUACCAUCAUCUGACGACCCACGACCUAACCAUCUGCAAAAGGAGCAACUGAAUAUCUAGUGUAAUUUUUAAUGUUUUCAUCAUAUGACACUAAAAGGUCAUUCAGACUUCCAACCCAUACAGGCUGCCCGCAGGUUUCCUUCAUGCUGUUUGUAUUUAUACCUGUUUGCUCCCUCCAUGCUUUCUCUAAAAGAAAAUCUCAACAAGUAUUCUCCUCUCUUCUUAUACAACUGGAUCUGCUAUCCCGCAUGGUCUGUUUUAAUACUGUGUGCUAUGCUUCAGACUGAAAUCCAAAGGAACUCACUAUAUAGAUUUCCUCUUCACAGAAGAAUAUACCGUGGUCUCAAUUUAUAGGGCUGUUUUUGUUUUAUAAAGCAAGGAAUUUAAAUCUCUUCCCUUCUUGGAUGUGAAGACAUUUUUACUUUCAUGGUCUUGGCUUAUGUGGAGUUCUAAGUUUUCUAUUAACACAGAGAAAGUAAAAUUAACUCAGCCUAUCUUCAUGAUUCCCAGACAUCACUAGGGUGUGCUGUAGAUCAUGAAAUUUCAGUAAAGCACAGUUGAUAGGGAAAAAUAUAGCUGCUAUAUUAACUAUUUUAAAUUAAUUCCAAACACAGAAGCAACUCAAAAUUCUUUAAAAGCCUACACUCAAGAGAGGCAACAAAAGACAUGAACAAUCUAAAACAUUUUUGUCAUGCAAGCUUGGAAACAUACUGCUGUACACAACAGAGAACUGAUGGGAGUCAGACAAGUGGAGGCCAAUGUGCAGACAGGUAACUAACAUCCAGGCACACAGUCCCGUGCAAGCUGAAAAAAAUGGGACUAGAACCAAUAUACCUUUAAAAUAAAAAAAAGUAACAAGAAUGAGAGUAUGUGGAACGUCCCUUUGAUAAAGAUUUAUGAAGCUAUUCCAAUUGUAUGGGAACUGUUGAAUCACAGCCUGAACCUCUGAUUGAUCACCUGAGGUGAGCACUGAGUCAGCCCUGCGAGCACAGGUGAAAGCAUUUUAGCACCUCUCCUAGACCCCAUUUAAGGGCUGACUGCCAUAAGGGAAGGAUCUCUUUCUGGAGAUUGCUUCUCUUGGAGUUUUUCCUGUGAGCCUACAUAGGCCUGUGGUAUUAUCUCAGAUGCGCUUCGGAUAAUAAAGCAAUAUUUUCCUUCCAACUGAAGCCCAAGUGCCACGAGCUGCAUUUGCUGUCAUGAAUGCUUCAGCUGAUACUUUACACAGAAGAGCUAAAUUGCACAGGGAAGUGAUUGCAAGGAGUAAAGUAAGGCAGCUCACGUCAACUCCAGCGCUUCCCUCCUCAUGGUUAUGGCACAGAUACUCUGUUAAGGUACAGCAGACACAGAGUUGUACAGCCAGAAGCUGACUCAGGACCUGCUACAUACCCCUGGUGUGUCCACUCACCUCUCAGCUCCCCAGGGUCUGCGGGCUGCCCGGUUGCUGUACCAGUCAGUAUCACCCCAUCAGCCAGGAAGAGCUCAGCAGCAGAGGCGGUCUCGGCCACGCUGAUAUCUGCCGUCAGAGCAUGAGCACUGUCAACAGCAGGAAUGUACCCCGGGGUUACUUUCAGCACACAGUUCCGCAUCAACAACUGACUUCUGAAGAUGGGCCAAAGGUACAGAAGAAUUAAAUUUCCACUCCAAAGUUAUGGUGAGCAUCAACUCUACCUUGUCUUAGCAGCUCAGUGUCCGGCAUAUGGACUUCAGAAGAAGACUAAGAACAGAAACAAUUUUGGUAGACCAUUUAUGUGCUACAAGGUACCCCUACACAGCCUUGAAAUAUCUUUAUGUUGACAUACUGAUGCCUUUAGCCACAACAUAAUGAAUCCACAGCUGUAUUGCAAAAGAUGACAAUUCUGACUCCUUUAUUGUAUUCCUUUCCUCUUCAGUCUUCCACAGCUUUGAAGCUUAUUUCACACACCCUUUAGGAUGUGUAAAAGCUCUGCCAACAUCCUGUUCAGCUUUUGCUGUUCUUCCAGUUUGCUUUAGAGCUCCCUUCCAGGCCCUCUGAAGUUCUACUGCUUCUCCAGCUUUGAGUCAGCUGCACAUUUAAGCAGGGCUGACACAUCGAAGAACUAAAUGCAUGUGAGAGCAGCCUCCAGGGAUGCGAUUCCAUCUAACAGAGAACUGUUUAGGCAACAAAGGCCUCACCUUAACACAUUUCAGAUGUAAACAGAAAGAAUCUUUAAAAACGUAUUUACUGAAUGACAAGGUGCCUGUUUAUUUUAAAAGCUGUAUUUCAGCUUCAUUCCAGAAGCCCUGAAGUUGCAGAAACCGAAGCUUAUGCCUGAUGGAAAAGAGCCUGUAUCGCUUAGCAACACAGACUGCAGUUAACAUGAAACACCACAGAUGGUGCCAAUUCAAAUAUAAGCUGUCCUAUGUCUUGAGAUUAGCAGAUUCAGACUGCUUUGAAGAAAGCUACCGCUAUUUAUUAUCCACUGUACCUCUCCAUCCACAAGAACAUACAUUUAACAAACAAUGGAGUGGCAAUGAAAUACUCUACUGACAGAGCUGAUGCAGUUUAUUGAAAAUCUUUGUACAUCAUCUGGAGCCUUGGACAUUUUCAAUGGUGAUAUGGUAUAUACUAGAACUUUUCAACAAUUGCAAAUCAUAUAAUUGCGUUGAGGACUAAGAACAAAAGUAGAAGGACAGCCCUGAAACAUAUUUCAAGCCUGACAUUUUGCAUUUGCGGUAAGAACUUUUCUAGACAUUUCUCACCUGCUUCAAUUGAAAAAUACAAAAAGGUUCUAAGAUAAAUUAAUUGUACAUAAAGAAAACAAAUUCUAUUCUCUCUGGACUGUAACCACACAUCAAAACCCUCAAAAAGAGAGCUGUGCAUUUCAAAGGCGUUCUAGCAUUCAGAAUAGAAAGAACAAUUGAAAAGAAAUUAAAAGAAAUUAAAU